UACAGAGGGUGCGAGCGUUAAUCGGAUUUACUGGGCGUAAAGCGUGCGUAGGCGGCUUUUUAAGUCGGAUGUGAAAUCCCCGAGCUUAACUUGGGAAUUGCAUUCGAUACUGGGAAGCUAGAGUAUGGGAGAGGAUGGUAGAAUUCCAGGUGUAGCGGUGAAAUGCGUAGAGAUCUGGAGGAAUACCGAUGGCGAAGGCAGCCAUCUGGCCUAAUACUGACGCUGAGGUACGAAAGCAUGGGGAGCAAACAGU
rnacentral:rRNA from 1 species